UACGGAGGGGACUAGCGUUGUUCGGAAUUACUGGGCGUAAAGCGCUCGUAGGCGGUUUUGUUAGUCAGGGGUGAAAUCCCGAGGCUCAACCUCGGAACUGCCUUUGAUACUGCAAAUCUCGAGUCCGGAAGAGGUGAGUGGAAUUCCUAGUGUAGAGGUGAAAUUCGUAGAUAUUAGGAAGAACACCAGUGGCGAAGGCGGCUCACUGGUCCGGUACUGACGCUGAGGUGCGAAAGCGUGGGGAGCAAACAGG
rnacentral:rRNA from 1 species